rnacentral:rRNA from 1 species
UAUCCUACGGGACGCAGCAGUCGAGAAUCAUUCACAAUGGGGGAAACCCUGAUGGAGCAACGCCGCGUGAGUGAAGAAGGGUUUCGGCUCGUAAAGCUCUGUUGGUAGUGAAGAAAGAUAGAGGUAGUAACUGGCCUUUAUUUGACGGUAAUUACUUAGAAAGUCACGGCUAACUACGUGCCAGCAGCCGCGGUAAUACGUAGGUGGCAAGCGUUGUCCGGAUUUAUUGGGCGUAAAGC